UACGUAGGUGGCAAGCGUUGUCCGGAAUUACUGGGCGUAAAGGGCUCGUAGGUGGCCAACUAAGUCAGACGUGAAAUCCCUCGGCUUAACCGGGGAACUGCGUCUGAUACUGGAUGGCUUGAGUUCGGGAGAGGGAUGCGGAAUUCCAGGUGUAGCGGUGAAAUGCGUAGAUAUCUGGAGGAACACCGGUGGCGAAGGCGGCAUCCUGGACCGACACUGACGCUGAGGAGCGAAAGCCAGGGGAGCAAACGGG
rnacentral:rRNA from 1 species